rnacentral:misc_RNA from 1 species
GUUUUUAUAUUUUUUAUUCUAUAUAAUUCAACAAUGUUCAAUAUUUAAUCACAUUUUUAUAAAAAAUAAAUAUAUAUUGUCCAUUUCAUCCAAGAACCUAAUCGAAUUGGACCAAACCAUUUUAAAACUGGAACCAAAAAUGUUCAAAACAGAAUCAAAAUUGCCUUAACCCUAAACUGCUGAUUCUGCCCCAGACUGGAUUUGUGGACAGGUCUACUUGUGAGGUGGUGGUUGAUUGAUUCAAUAAACUAAGGUGAAAUUUGGUUCUAAAUGGAAUUUCAUAUUGUUUUGAUGGCUUUUUAUUAAUUUAUCUGAAGUCAAUAUGGCAAGGAAAAUAUAUCCAUUGGAGAUGACACUCUCAAUCACUUUCUUUGUGCAUCUGGACUUCCAUUACUUCUCUUAGUCUGGAAAUGUUUACUAUGAGGGGGGAGGCUCUUUUCAAGGAAAAGUCUGGAAGUGUUGACUGUCAAUAAGUCCUACCGAAUUUCUAUGAUGCCCAAGUUGCAAUGCAGGAACCUUAGUUUUACACCAAGUACUGCCCACAAUGUGUUAUGUGUAAACAUCAAGUUUCAAAGUUUCAGGCAUUACCAUUGGAGCUACUUGCGUUUGCAUUGCUAAACACGACUAUAGACAGUCACUUGAAAACUUUUCCUUUAAAGAACCUGGAACUUUUAACGUGAAUAUAAUAUGGACUAGUACUUUUCUUUUUAUUAAUGAUUGUGAUAUAUGGGACACAUGUUUACUGUUGCAGGUGCCCGUUGUGUAGCUACUCUAUUGCAUGAGAUGAAACGCCGCGGUAGCGAUUGUCGCUCUGGGGUGGUGUCAAUGUGCAUAGCUACCUCUUUCUCGAUUUGUGUGUGCGCAUGUGCACGAGACUUGCAAAUGCAUGUUUUUUUUUUUAAUUUUGUGGAACAUAUGAAUGAUGAUGAAUGCAUGCAACUCAAAUGCAGGCACGGGAAUGGGAGCAGCGG